GACGAACGCUGGCGGCGUGCCUAAUACAUGCAAGUCGAGCGGACUGACUGGGAGCUUGCUCUUGUUCGGUCAGCGGCGGACGGGUGAGUAACACGUGGGCAACCUGCCCGCAAGACCGGGAUAACUCCGGGAAACCGGAGCUAAUACCGGAUAACACCGAAGACCGCAUGGUCUUUGGUUGAAAGGCGGCGCAAGCUGCCACUUGCGGAUGGGCCCGCGGCGCAUUAGCUAGUUGGUGAGGUAACGGCUCACCAAGGCGACGAUGCGUAGCCGGCCUGAGAGGGGGACCGGCCACACUGGGACUGAGACACGGCCCAGACUCCUACGGGAGGCAGCAGUAGGGAAUCUUCCGCAAGGGGCGAAAGCCUGACGGAGCGACGCCGCGUGAGCGAAGAAGGCCUUCGGGUCGUAAAGCUCUGUUGUGAGGGACGAAGGAGCGCCGUUUGAAGAAGGCGGCGCGGUGACGGUACCUCACGAGGAAGCCCCGGCUAACUACGUG
rnacentral:rRNA from 1 species